GUAAGUAUAGUUUAAACCAAAAUAUUAGAUUGUGAUUCUAAAGACAGAGGUUAAAAUCCUCUUACUCACC
rnacentral:tRNA from 1 species